AUGAAAUGCCUCUUGAAAGGGAGAUUUUUGCCCGCUGAUUAUGACCAGAUCCUAUUUAUCCAAUUUCAAAAUUCUGCUCAAGGAAAUAAGACUGUUUCAGAUUACACGGAGGAGUUUCUAAGGCUACAAGUGAGGUGCAACCUUGCUGAAACUAAAGAGCAACAAGUUGCAAGGUACAUCAAUGGUCUCGAUGAUGCUAUUCAAGAUCAAUUGAUGAUGCAACAAAUCUGGUCCGUCGAUCAAGCACAAGCUCUAGCCUUAAAGGUCGAGAGGUUUGUGAGGAUGAGAAAGACAACUAAGGCUCCAUAUCCUCAUACCGAAGGCUCAUCUAGGAGCCAACCUAAUAGAGUGGAAGAAAAGACCACUCCAGCAAAGACAAAACAACCCAUCCCGAAGCAAAUUAGAGGCAAGGGUAAGGCAAAUGAAGGCCCAAAGUGCUAUAAAUGUGGUAAAGAGGGGCACAUAUCUAGCGGUUGCCCACUAAGGAAAUUUGUUAACACGACUAUCCAUGAUGGUGAAAGCGAUGAGGAAGAAUACGAAUCUGAAGAUGUAGACGAGCAAGAGGUUUGUCAAGAAGAAGUUUAA
rnacentral:rRNA from 1 species